rnacentral:rRNA from 1 species
UCUGGUGGCAAUGACGGGAAGGGCACACCCGUUCCCAUUCCGAACACGGCAGUUAAGCUUCCCAGUGCCGAUGAUACUUGGCCGGCAGCGGCCCGGGAAAGUAGGUCGCCGCCAGAU